GUAUCUAUUGAUAGGCAUAGAGAGAUCAUUCUAAGAUUGUAACACAAAAAUAUGUACAACCCUGUGCUCCUUUAGACUGUUGAUAUUCUGGAAACCCAUAAGAGAUUUCUAAAGAGUGUAUUUCCCAAUGAAAUUUUAUAUUGAAAGAAGCUACGUAAUCAACAUAAGAUUGAAGACUUUCGCUUGUAUCAACAAUGGAACAUAUAAUCUAUUUGGCUAUAUAACGAGGAACUCAGCCAGAACUCAGCUCUAUUUCGAAAAUUUUGUGUUCAUUUCUCAGACUGGGAAAACUAUUAGCUUCAAAACAAAACCGCUCAAAAUGCAAUAGAACCAGUUCCAUAUAAAAAGACUCGAUCUACCAAGCUCCUAGUUGUGAUGGAUAUAUAAGUAAACCAUUGGUCCUAUUUCCGAGUAGACUAGUUCCAAGACUGUUACAUGUUUAGUUUAACAACCGCAUACAUGAAUUACUUAGAUUAUUUCCAUUUUUCCUUAGUUGUAUAACAGUUCCGAUAAGUGUCUAGCCCAAACAUUGAUCAAAACUAUCUGUGUUCGCUGUAGCUAGCCUACAUUCUUAUCAAUCAAUAUAGAACUACUAAUAUGCAAGUUUAUAGUCGUAAGACUAACAAUUA